UGACUCCGUAACCAGUGCUCUGCCCUCCAAGAUGCAAAGAGGUGAACUGGCCCCCGGUUGGGGCAGUUAGCCUGCUGGCUCUAGAGGAGAUAUGAAGUGGUGAACAGUUCAUCUCCCCCACGUCCAUGCCCCCAGAGGCUCGAGCAAGGAACUGUGGUAGGUGAGGGGGUAGGUGAGGGGCCUGGACUUGGAUGGCUCAGAGUGGGGCAGGCAGGACAGAGCAAUCUUGAAAGGCUGAGGCAGGAAACGGCGGAGCAGGACUAGGAGCCGGCGUUGUCAAAAGCAUCCGCAUCGCACCGUCUCCAUCUCCGUCUCCGGCAGUGAAAGUGAAUUGGGCGCAAGACAGAGAUGAUGGGCCAGCGAAACUCACCACCGCAUUCCCCUCUGUGACUGGGGACCCAGUGAGGCAGGCCCACCUGCCAUAUCAGCACCUUGAUCUCGGAGCUCAUCAGAGAGAGGUUUCCAAAUGACUUGUCUCUGCUGCCCCAGGAAGGAAGCCUUCUGGGCUGCAGCGUGGGGGCUGCUGGGUGUGGGCCAGACACUUGAAAGGGAGUAAAUGAUGACACAGCAGUGGGGGAGAGGGCUGCUGAUACUGUGGUUCCAGCUCUGGAGAGGAGGCCCGCAGAGGCCAAGAUAAAGCAGCCACCUGGCCUUACCCACCAGAGGGGGUCGUUGAAAAAUCCCCAUAAAGGCUCCUGUGAGCAAGAAAACAAGCAUCAGAUACUGGAAAACCACAGCGGCAAGGUCAGUGUCCAUCUCUCCAAAACUGUUCCAGAAAAGAAUUGUGCAACCAUCACCAAAAUCAAUUUUAGAGUGCUUUCAUCACCUCAUCAGAAACCCUCUACCCAUUACCAGCCAUUCUUCAUUUCUACCCAUGAUGGAUUUCUGACCACCAGAUCUGUAAGGUAAGAAAUUGGUAUUGUUUUAAGCCACUAAAUUUGUGGUGAUUUAAGUAUGGCAGCAAUCAAAAAUGAAUAAACAAGUUACAAUGAAUGACAUUUGUAUACUUCUCCUGAGAAAUGUUUAUUCAAGUCUUUGCCCAUUUUUCAACUGGAUUAUUUAUCUUUUUAUUGUUGAGUUGGAAGAGUUCUUUAUAUAUUCUGGAUAUGUCCCUUAUUAAAUAUAUAAUUUGCAAAUAUCUUCCCACAUUAUGUAGGUUGUCUUUUCACUUUCUAGGUCAUGUACUUUGAAGCACAAAAAUAUUUAAUUUUUGCUGUGCGUAGGCUGGCAGCUGUAGCUCCGAUUCAACCCCUAGCCUGGGAACUUCCACAUGCCACCGGUGUGGCCCUAAAAAGAAAAAAAAAAAAAUUUUUUUUUUUUUAUGAAGUCUAAUUUAUCCAUUUUUCUUUGAUUGUUCUGUGCUUUUGGUGUUAUAUUUAAGAGGGCUUUGGGGGAGAAAAAAAAAAAGAAGGCUUUGUCUAACCCAAAGUCAGAAAGAUUUGCUCUAUGCUUUCUUCUAACAUUUUAUAGUUUAGCUUUUACAUCUGGGUCUAUGAUCCAGUUUAAUUUUUCUGCAUAUGUAAGGAAGAGGUCCAUCUGCAUUUUUUUGCAUGUGGAUAUCUAGUUGUCCCAGCACUGUUUAUUAAAAAGACUAUUCUUAAACCAAACCGAAAAACUACUAUUCUUUCUCCAUUGAAUUGUCUUAGCACCUUGUUGAAAAUCAAUUAACCAUAAAAGUAAGAGUUUAUUUAUGGACUCUCCAAUCUAUUCCAUCUACAUGUCUAUCUUAUAUCCUAAUACCUAGUCUUGAUUACUCUAGCCACUUAAUAGUUUAAACACACUUUUAAUUACAUAGAAAAUAUAUUGUCAUUAUAGAAAAUUCGAGAUAAAAGGGAAGAAGAAAAAAAUUACCGAUGAUCUCAAUUCCCCCAAGACAACCACUGUUAAUAAAUUAGUAUAUUUUAUCACUUCUUUGUUUUUAUGUUUUUGGGUUUUAUUUUUUUAACCCACUUGUGAUUAUAUCUUUAUAUACAAUUUUGUAUUUUGCUCUUUUACUUAACUUAAAAGCAUUUCCCCGUGUUACUAGAAAUUAUACAAAGCAUCUUUUCUAAUGAUUGCAUUAACAUUCUACUGGGGGAAUAUGCUAAAAUGUAUUUAACCAGUCGUAUUUUUUGAUACUUAAGAGGUUUCUAUUUUUUUCAAUCUUAAAUAUAACAUUACAUCUUUGUGAAUAACUCUUUGAAUAUAUUUUGGAUAAUUUUUAAGGAUAAUUUAACAGGGAAAUAAUUGAUAUGCAUCACCAGAUUAUUUCUCUAAAAGCAGUAUCAAUUUGCCUUACCACUAGCAGGACAUAAGAAUAGCCUUUGCCUUGCACACUUGCCAGCACUGGAUAUUCUUUUCUUUUCUUUUUUUAACUUUUGCAAGUUUUGAUGGACGAAAAAUGAUACCUGGUUAGAAAAAUUUGCAUCUUUUUUGUUAUUAGUGAAGUUGAACUUUUUCCCACGUGUCUUUUAGCUCUAUAUAUUUCCUCUUUUGUGAACUGUUCAAGUUCAUUUAUUUUUCAUGGGGGGGCUUGACCAAUUCUGACAACUCUGGAUCCUAGCUUUGCUAACACUUACCAAUCUUUUAACACGCCUGGGUCAUUUUCUCAGAAUGUAGAGAAAGAGGCUUUCUAAAUAAAGAGGAUAUUAAAGAGUAUAUAGAUACCUGGAAAGGGGCUUUUCUUCAGAAAGUAGGAAGAUUGAAAAAAUGGGGUCAGAGUAAAACUACCCAUUUCUGAAAGGGCUAUUAGCCCUCUCUGACCAGCUCCGGCCUGCAGCUGGAAAAGUUCGACAAAUGUAGCGUUGAGCAAAGCACUAAAGUCUGGAGAAUUUCCAUACUUAAAAACCUGCAAGUGUAAGUUCCCAGUGUCUUACCUAUAAACUGAAACUUAAGCUCCUCAGGACUGUGAUGAAGAUCCAAGAGGUCUUGCUUUUGGAAAUGGUUUUGAGUGGGGGCUCAGCAAAAGUGAUAUGCAGCCAUUAUCUAGUUAUGUCCAAGACAGGAAAAGAAAGACUAAAGAAACGGUUUUAGGACAGGUAUGGGUUAAAUAUCAGUAAGGACCAGCCAUCUGUCAGCCACGUGAGUCUCUGAAAUGUAUCCUUGUGAAAAUCUGCACAGGCCUCCUUGGUUCUCUUGUUGAAAGAGACUGAGAAUUCCUUGAUAAUUCUUUACCUGUCAUAGGCAUGUCCUAAGGAAUGGGAUGCGCUAACUAAUUUGGAUUCUAGCUGGUUCAUGGAAGGCGAAACAGGGUGCUCUCACAGGGACAUGGCAUCAUCACAUCAUCCGGCCAUUUCUGAAUUGACCAGCCCAUUAACAUGCAGAAAUUCUGGGCACGAGUGGGAAUCCCACAGAAGUCACACUACAAGGUGAAGGUUAUGGGGGGAAUACCAGACCGGAACUUGACAUUUCAUUCUGCUUCCCUGGCAGGACCUUUUCAAAGAAACAAGAACUGAAAUGUAGCUUGAACUGGCAUGCAAAACAGGCCGCUAUUUCAGUCUGAAUCAUGAGUAGUGGCCGCAGUGGGCCAUCUGAAACUGAGGGGCCAAAGAAAACCGAACACCAAGGCAGGGGUUGCACAUGAUAAAAAACUGAAACUGUCUGGGCGACUGGGCAGUUCCAAGUAUUAGCUACACUGGGAACUGAGCCAGGAAACAGAAUUUUAUUAUAGCAUUUCCUUCCUGGCUAGAGCCAUAUACCAGUGAUUUUCUCUCUCUCUCUCUCUCUCUGUCUCUCCCUCUCUGCCCUCUCCUCCACCCUAGAAUUCCUGCAGUUCCCAGUCUGCCGCAAGACUGCAGGACAGUGGGUAUCUUAGCACGGCUUUGCCUUGUACUGCAGUGUUGCCACGUCACCUGGUGCUCUGCCCCUCCCCCAGCCCAGCCCAGGGUCACAGCAGCUUGCGGUGUUGCCAAGGAGCUGGCAUCACCCGGACCCAGAGGGCAGAAUAGUGGCUGAGGUGGCCAGCCACGUCACUGUAAUCCAGAGUGUUUAUGUUCUCUGCAGCCCAGUGAUGCAAGAGUCUGCCAACAAUCCUCAAAUUUAUUCUGCGUUCUUGGGCCUUCGAGAAGUGAAUAGCUGUCUUGAAAACAAAGCAAAGAAAGCUCUGAUAGGAAAAAGAUUCAGGCUUCCUUUCCUACCUUUUUUCUGCUAAGUCAUCUUCCACCUUUCCUCAGACUCCUGGGUAUCUCCCCCUCUGGAAAGCCUCCCUUAACACUAGCUAGACCUGCUCAUUUCUCUUAUGAGCAUCAAAAAAGUUUUUCAUUCAAGGUCCAGCUACCUCCUAGCCAGGGAAGCUUAAAGGAAUGUUUAGAGAAAGUAAAUUGAUUUCACUAUUAGUUUAAGUUAAACAUAUGAUUUCAGUACAUGGAAGGCACCAAAUGUAUUUAACGUAAUUGACUUCAGAUACAAAAACACCAUGUGUACUUGCGAGCCUAGGCAAUUUUUUUCUUUUUUGGCCAAGCCCAUGGCAUGCUGAACUUCCCAGGCUAGGGGUCAAACCCACACCACAGCAGUGACCCAAGGCACAGCAGCGACGACAUCAGAUCCUUAACUUCUAGGGUACCGGGGAAUUCCAAUUUUAAUUUUAAAUUAUCUAGGCAAACAUCAUUAUAGAAAUCCCAGGAUCUUGAUUUAGACAGACCUAAAUUUAACUCUGGGCUUUACCACUUACUGGUUGUGAUCUUGGACAAUUUAUUUCACUUCCCUAAACUGCCUUAUGAAGAUUACAAUGACAUGCCUCAUAAGGCUUUUCAGACGAUUAUGUAAAUGAACCUCUUGUUCACACUCGUGAACAGUUAAGUGACAGCUGCCUCACUCUGUGUGUACAUAUUCUUUCAUGUGUUCUUUCCGUGCACCUCUGCUUUUUGACCAUGAUCUCUAUGAGGGCAGUGCCAGGCUCUUCCACCUGAGGGAGUGGAGUUGUCCUACAUGCAUAAUGCCAAGAAAGCUCAGAUACAGUCUUAUGGUAUUUGGGGUAGACUCAAGAGAAAGGCCUAGAUCAUUGAUUUUGAUUUUGAGGCACGGAAUUAAUAUCUGCAUAAUGAACCUAGCUACAUCUGGCAAUGAUACAUUAGUUGUGAGGUUUUAGGAAACUCAUUUAUUUAAUUAUUUGUUUAUUCACCCAAAACUUGAUUGAACAUCUGUUAUGUCGGAGGCUACCAUGUUGGAAAAUACACAAGUUCUCUUUCCCCCAUGCUUCCGGUUCGUUUAACCUAAAGAAAUAAUAAGGCAAUUUAAUUAAUAUUCAUUGGAAAACAUUUCAACUAUGUAAGGUAACAUCGUGCUUUAUCAAACAAAACCAGAACCUCUAAAACUCAGCUCUUGAAAGAGAGUAGAUUAAAAAAACUGGCUGACCAGAAUCCUGACUCUGUUCCAAACUCAUCCAACCUCAGGUUUCCUAUGUAUUUUAUUAUUUUAUUUUAUUUUAUUAAGUGUAGCUGAUUUACAAUGUUGUGUUAGUUUCUGUGCUAUAAGCAGGACUUUUUUUUUUUUUUAAAUCAGGUUUCCUAUGUCUUGGCUGUUUCCUCUCUAACCCUCUGGCCCAAGCAUAGAUUUUACAACUUGUGCUUAUUGAUGAAAUGGGUUAGAGUUCCAACAAAAUAUUUACUAAGAAAAUAAGAGAGAACAAAAAGGACAUUUUUGAAAGCAGUAUGAAACAUUGUUAUGACUUUGGAAAAUUGUUUGGCAGUAUUUACUAAAACUGAUCAUAAUCAUAUAUGCAAGGACCCAGCAAUUUUAUUCUGAGAAAUGUACCCAUUGUGCAGUUUUGUGCACAUUUGUUCACUAAAGCCAUAUACCAGGAUGAUCAUAGCAGUACUGUUGGUAAUAGUCAAAGACUGGAAACAACCUGAAUGUUCAUGUAUGGUAGAAUAGACAAGUUAGGGUAUUUUUAUACAGUGGAAUACCACACAGCACAGUGAUGAACAAACUACCAUUAUGGGUCACAAAUAAGUGAAUCUUACCAACACAAUGUUGAGAGAGGAAAGCCAGACACAAAAGAGGAUCUUCUGUCUGGUUCUAUUUAUCAAAAGUUCCCAAACAGGGAGUUCCUGUUGUGGCUCAGGGGUAACAAACCCGAUUAGUAUCUAUAAGGAUGUAGGUUCGAUCCCUGGCCUUGCUCAGUGGGUUAAGGAUCCGGCAUUGCCAUGAGCUGUGGUGUAGGCCUGCAGCUGCAGCUCUGAUUUGACGCCUAGCCUGGGAACUUCCAUA
rnacentral:lncRNA from 1 species